rnacentral:rRNA from 1 species
AGGAGAGGUGAGGAAAGGAAGGAAACCCUCGCGUCGUCCCCUCCGCUCCGAAACCCCCGACGCCAAGGAAACCCUCGCGAGCCCACAGCCGCCUCCGGCUCCGCCCGCGCCGCCGCCCCGAAUCCGGCCGGUGCCCGCGGCCCCGGGCCCCCGCCGCCCCAGUCCCCGAGGGAGCAAUGGGCAGCAGCAGCAGCAGCAGUGCCUGAGGAGGAGGGAGUUAUGGCGGGAAUGGCUGGGAAGGGGGACGAGUCGGUUGCACCGGUGAGGUCCAGUGACCGGCUGCGGCAGCGGCCCAAGUACUACGGGCGGGGAUACCUGUAUUACUCACCCAACAUGCGCAACAAGAUGAACUCCAACAAGAAGCGGACGGCUGCAUCGCAGAUUGCGAAGAAGCUUCUUCGCAAGCCAGCCGCACGGGAACCUCCUGCCGAUUCUAUUGCAGCAAAUUUGCGCCGUUCAACGCGGAAGCGAAGAAUGUCUGUAACUCUGGAGGACUACGGCACAGAUAGUUCCAGUAUGGAAGAUGAUGACCUUAUGAGACCCAGAUAUCGGUCUUCUUCAAAGAGUAAAGGGGAUGAUCAAGUGUCGGCACGGCCGAAGCGCAAUAAAAUGUCUAACUCGAACUCCAUUCCCCGCCGUGAAGGUUUAAGGCCUAGAAGAUCUCUGCGGGGACAAAGGCAUCUUCCAUACCAAGUUUCUGAUGAUGAUCAGGAAAGUUCUGAAGAAGAACAUGAACAAGAUCAGAGAGAAAAUGGCAAUGAAGUCGAAGAGGACGGUGCCAAUGAAGAGGAGAUUGAUGGAGGUGAUGAAGCUGAAGAAGAUGGAGAUGAUGAAGAUGGCGAGGAAGAGCAAGAAGUUAGGAGGAGAUAUGAUCUAAGGGAUCGUGCAGAAGUUCGUAGACCCUCCCCACAGAAGGAAGGGAAGCACAGACCACAAUCUCCCCGCAGAGUACUUGUACAAGGAAUUGGUCCAAAGAACAGCAAGUAUUUAAAAAAAGGUGGGUCACGCAUGCAUAAGCGCCCUCGUUUCUCAAUGCCAGAUGAUUCAGAUGAUUCUCUUCUCGUGGAUGAGCCGGAUGAAGGUCCAUCCAUGCCAUGGAUGCGUAGUGGGAGAGGUGGUAUGCCACCAUGGCUUAUGGGUGGAUUGGACAUGCAUAAUUCAGCAGCAUGGGGUCUCAAUGCUGGAGCAUCUGGAUGGGGUCAUCAGGGUGAUACUGGAGUCAGUACUUCAUCACUGAUGCCAGGGGCACAAACUGCUGGCCCAAGUUCCAAGGGAGGAGCUGAUAUUCAGCCUCUGCAGAUUGAUGAGAGUGUAAGUUUUAAUGAUAUUGGAGGUUUGUCUGAGUACAUUGAUGCUUUAAAGGAAAUGGUGUUCUUCCCUUUGUUGUAUCCAGAUUUUUUUGCAAAUUAUCACAUAACUCCUCCUAGGGGAGUUCUUCUCUGUGGACCUCCUGGUACAGGGAAGACAUUGAUUGCCCGUGCAUUAGCUUGUGCUGCCUCUAAAGCUGGCCAGAAGGUCAGCUUUUAUAUGCGAAAAGGAGCUGAUGUUCUUAGUAAAUGGGUUGGAGAGGCUGAAAGGCAGCUCAAGUUGCUUUUUGAGGAAGCUCAAAAGAAUCAGCCUGCAAUCAUAUUUUUUGAUGAAAUAGAUGGCCUUGCCCCUGUGAGAUCUAGCAAGCAAGAGCAGAUUCACAAUUCAAUAGUGUCAACAUUGCUUGCUUUGAUGGACGGUCUUGAUUCACGUGGACAAGUUGUUUUGAUUGGAGCAACCAAUCGGAUUGAUGCCAUUGAUGGGGCAUUGCGUAGACCUGGCCGUUUUGAUCGCGAGUUCUAUUUUCCUUUACCUGGCUAUGAGGCACGAGCUGAAAUUCUGGACAUUCAUACACGGAAAUGGAAGGAACCCCCGCCAAAGGAGCUAAAGAUGGAGCUUGCUGCGAGCUGUGUUGGGUAUUGUGGUGCUGAUUUGAAAGCAUUAUACUCGGUCAGGGUCGAGAGGAACCACUUCUUGGAAGCUAUGUCUACAAUAACUCCAGCUGCACAUAGGGGAUCAAUUGUGCAUUCAAGACCACUGUCACCGGUUAUUGCUCCAUGUUUGAAGAGACAUCUUGAGAAGGAUCAUGUUGGGCCAGCUGUUUUGCAUGAGCUUGAGAAAUUUCCUGUGCACUCCUUGGGGCUGCCAUCUCUUCUCUCUGAUCCAAGUGCAAAGACACCUGAAGAAGCUCUCGUGCAUAUUUUUGGGGAAGCAAGGAGAACAACACCGUCCAUACUAUACUUGCCACAGUUCCAUCUUUGGUGGGAUACGGCACAUGAACAGCUUAGGGCAGUGUUAUUGACUCUUCUGAAUGAAUUGGCAUCCAAUCUUCCAGUAUUGUUGCUAGGAACAUCAUCAGUGGCCUUUGAUGACCUCGAAGAAGAGUGUGCUUCCAUAUUUUCUUCUCGUAAUGUAUAUCAAGUGGAUCGACCAAGUGAUGAUGAUAGAUCAAGAUACUUUAGUAUACUGUUUGAGUCACUGCUCUCACUUCAAAUGGAAGAUUCAAGAAGCAAGUCGAAAGAGAAAAAGUCUAUCGAUCUUCCAAAAGCACCAAAGAAAGUAGAUGGGCCUAAGGUUUCUGAGCUGAAAGCUAAGGCAGAAGCUGAGCAACACGCUGUUCGUCGAAUGAGAAUGUGUCUACGAGAUAUUUGUAACCGCAUUCUAUACAACAAAAGGUUCACUGCAUUUCACUUCCCAGUAUCAGAAGAGGAAGUACCUGACUAUCGAACAAUAGUUCACAACCCCAUGGAUAUGGCUGCUGUCUUGCAGCGGGUGGACUCUGGACAGUACUUCUCUCAGGCAGCAUUUUUGAAGGAUAUUAAUCUUAUAGUCACUAAUGCAAAGACUUAUAAUGGCGACGAUUACAAUGGAUCUAGGAUCGUGAGCAGAGCAUGUGAACUCCGAGAUGUGGUGCAAGGAAUGUUGUCACAGAUGGACCCGUCAUUGGUAUCCUUUUGUGAUAAAAUUGCUGCACAAGGGGGACCACUGCAGGCUAUGGAUGAUGAGGAUAGCUCCAUUCUUCAAGCGCCGCCUGUUGUUCAGUUAGUUUCUGUUACUAGAACAAGUGCGAGGCUUCGUAAUGUACAACCAGAAGUUGAUCUGUCACGAAGUUAUGAGGUGCUAAAGCGGCACAAGAAAAGCACCGAAAACGAACAUGGCACGGCUGCCAAAGAAUCGACAGCAAGAGACGGAAAGUCUCCUGGUGAUGUAGAUCUGUCAAAGCCAACUUCCCCAGAGGAAGCUCCAAAAGGACCACAUUCAAAUGGCCCUUUGAAAGAAGCUGACAAAGCACCAGAUGAAGCACCUCCAAUACUACCUGGUUCUCCUCCCGACCCAAUGGAGACUGACAAUGGCGAAGAUUCUGCCAUGCCUACCAGCGAUGACACGCUUGAACAGCUGGAAGGCUUGAAGCAGCGCUUCAUGGAGCUCACCGUGGGCUACGGGGUGCCGCAGCUCGAGAGGCUCUACUCGCGGAUAAUGAAGGGCGCGAUAGAGUUGACAGGUAAAGAAACCAACAAGGAUCAUAGACGGUUAGUUGUUAGGCAUUUGUCGGCAUUUGUUGAGAACAGCGACAAUUUUUAACUCUAGCAGGAAUAAGAGGUUUUACUGGUUUUCCCUGUGUACAUUCUGUUGUCUGUUGGAGCAACAACCCUGAGGAGCUGUCCAUGCCUCCUGAUGUAGUGAUGUAACAACAUUUUCUGAAAUGCUUAGUGGCAUUACAACAGUUUUGCGCAGCAAGUUCUGCUUCAGCCUUUGAGGACUUGAAUUUUCAGCAUUGCCUUUCUGUGCUAGUAUAUGUCAUUUAUUCCUCUACAUUUUUUCACUGGUUUUCAAUUCUGAAACAG